UGUGUGUGUGUUACAGUGUGUGUGUUAGAGUGUGUGUUACUGAUAGUGUGUGUGUUAACACUAACACACUCUAACACACACACUCUAACACACUCUAACACACACACACA